UACGAAGGGGGCAAGCGUUGUUCGGAAUGACUGGGCGUAAAGGGCGCGUAGGCGGUUCGUCGCGUCAGAUGUGAAAGCCCCGGGCUCAACCUGGGAACUGCAUUUGAUACGGGCGAGCUUGAAUCCAAGAGAGGGUGGUGGAAUUCCCAGUGUAGAGGUGAAAUUCGUAGAUAUUGGGAAGAACACCAGUGGCGAAGGCGGCCACCUGGCUUGGUAUUGACGCUGAGGCGCGAAAGCGUGGGGAGCAAACAGG
rnacentral:rRNA from 1 species